GUGGGGAAUAUUGGACAAUGGGCGAAAGCCUGAUCCAGCCAUGCCGCGUGUGUGAAGAAGGUCUUCGGAUUGUAAAGCACUUUAAGUUGGGAGGAAGGGCAGUAAGUUAAUACCUUGCUGUUUUGACGUUACCGACAGAAUAAGCACCGGCUAACUUCGUGCCAGCAGCCGCGGUAAUACGACGGGUGCAAGCGUUAAUCGGAAUUACUGGGCGUAAAGCGCGCGUAGGUGGUUUUGUAAGUUGGAGGUGAAAUCCCCGGGCUCAACCUGGGAACUGCCUCCAAAACUGCAUGACUAGAGUACGGUAGAGGGUAGUGGAAUUUCCUGUGUAGCGGUGAAAUGCGUAGAUAUAGGAAGGAACACCAGUGGCGAAGGCGACUACCUGGACUGAUACUGACACUGAGGUGCGAAAGCGUGGGGAGCAAACAGGAUUAGAAACCCUGGUAGUCC
rnacentral:rRNA from 1 species